rnacentral:sRNA from 1 species
GGUUGACCUCGGAUCAGGUAGGGAUACCCGCUGAACUUAAGCAUAUCAAUAAGCGGAGGAAAAGAAACCAACAGGGAUUGCCUCAGUAACGGCGAGUGAAGCGGCAACAGCUCAAAUUUGAAAUCUGGCCCUUGCAGGGUCCGAGUUGUAAUUUGUAGAGGAUGCUUCGGGUCCGGCUCCGGUCUAAGUUCCUUGGAACAGGACGUCACAGAGGGUGAGAAUCCCGUACGUGACCGGCCGCCACGCCCGUGUGAAGCUCCUUCGACGAGUCGAGUUGUUUGGGAAUGCAGCUCAAAAUGGGUGGUAAAUUUCAUCUAAAGCUAAAUACCGGCCAGAGACCGAUAGCGCACAAGUAGAGUGAUCGAAAGAUGAAAAGCACUUUGGAAAGAGAGUUAAAAAGUACGUGAAAUUGUUGAAAGGGAAGCGCUUGCAACCAGACUUGCCCGCGGGUGAUCAGCCGGUAUUCUUACCGGUGCACUCGCCCGUGGUCAGGCCAGCAUCGGUUUGGGCGGCUGGACAAAGGCCCCCGGAAUGUAGCUCCUCUCGGGGAGUGUUAUAGCCGGAGGUGCAAUGCAGCCAGCCCGGACCGAGGACCGCGCUUCGGCUAGGAUGCUGGCGUAA